rnacentral:rRNA from 1 species
AUUGAACGCUGGCGGCAGGCUUAACACAUGCAAGUCGAGCGGAGAGAGGUAGCUUGCUACUGAUCUUAGCGGCGGACGGGUGAGUAAUGCUUAGGAAUCUGCCUAUUAGUGGGGGACAACAUUUCGAAAGGAAUGCUAAUACCGCAUACGUCCUACGGGAGAAAGCAGGGGAUCUUCGGACCUUGCGCUAAUAGAUGAGCCUAAGUCGGAUUGGCUAGUUGGUGGGGUAAAGGCCUACCAAGGCGACGAUCUGUAGCGGGUCUGAGAGGAUGAUCCGCCACACUGGGACUGAGACACGGCCCAGACUCCUACGGGAGGCAGCAGUGGGGAAGAUUGGACAAUGGGCGGAAGCCUGAGCCAGCCAUGCCGCGUGUGUGAAGAAGGCCUUAUGGUUGUAAAGCACUUUAAGCGAGGAGGAGGCUACUUUAGUUAAUACCUAGAGAUAGUGGACGUUACUCGCAGAAUAAGCACCGGCUAACUCUGUGCCAGCAGCCGCGGUAA